rnacentral:rRNA from 1 species
GAAGAAGCACCGGCUAACUCCGUGCCAGCAGCCGCGGUAAUACGGAGGGUGCAAGCGUUAAUCGGAAUUACUGGGCGUAAAGCGCACGCAGGCGGUCUGUCAAGUCGGAUGUGAAAUCCCCGGGCUCAACCUGGGAACUGCAUUCGAAACUGGCAGGCUUGAGUCUUGUAGAGGGGGGUAGAAUUCCAGGUGUAGCGGUGAAAUGCGUAGAGAUCUGG